GCGUCUGUAGCUCAGUGGAUAGAGCGCCGGACUACGAAUCCGUAGGCCGCAGGUUCGACUCCUGCCAGACGCA
rnacentral:tRNA from 1 species